CGUGCAGUGUGUCAGAGCUUCACCAAUACUCAACAUGACAACUUUCACGCUUGUUUCAAUCGUGUCCCUCCUUAUUGUGGCUGUUUGUGGCCAGGAAUCUGCAGACUGCACUUCGAAAUGCCAGUGCAGCGACGUUGAAAACAAAACCGAGUUUUGCGCCAUCAAAGGCUUCACGAGGAAAACAUUCAGCAGCUCUUGUGAAAUGGUUUGCUACAACUGUCAGAAGAAAACAAACUUCAAAUACUUCAGCACUGGAAAGUGCCCUGCUAAUUUAAACAAGAGACAGAGACAAAACAAACAAAAGGGAUCUCAAGGUGAAAAUGCAAAAAAUUAACAUUGUUUUGAAGCAUGGGAUUUCAUGGAUAAAUAAAUGAAAUUCAGCCAGUA